rnacentral:rRNA from 1 species
GGAGAUGAGCUCGCGUCUGAUUAGCUAGUUGGUGUGGUAAAAGCAUACCAAGGCAACGAUCAGUAGCUGGUCUGAGAGGAUGAGCAGCCACACUGGGACUGAGACACGGCCCAGACUCCUACGGGAGGCAGCAGUGGGGAAUUUUCCGCAAUGGGCGAAAGCCUGACGGAGCAAGACCGCGUGGGGGAGGAAGGCUCUAGGGUUGUAAACCCCUUUUCUUUGGGAAGAAGAAAGUGACGGUACCAAAGGAAUCAGCCUCGGCUAACUCCGUGCCAGCAGCCGCGGUAAUACGGAGGAGGCAAGCGUUAUCCGGAAUGAUUGGGCGUAAAGCGUCCGCAGGUGGCCAUGUAAGUCUGCUGUCAAAACCCAGGGCUCAACUCUGGUCAGGCAGUGGAAACUACAAAGCUAGAGUCUGGUAGGGGCAAAGGGAA